rnacentral:lncRNA from 1 species
AAAUUCAAGAUAUUUACAACAGAUCAAAUAUAAAUUUUGUGCCUUAAAGAGCUGCAAUUCUUUGGUUGGUUAUAUAGCCUAUGAACUUGUAACAUUUGGGAUUGAUGGAUUUGAAAGGAUUAUUAAAAAAAGCAACAAGGAGGUACAGAUAUAUAUGCCUGAAAUAAUCAUGAGCUUGAUGCAUACUAUUGUGCUAAAAUUCAACUUUGCUUUGAAGAAAGGGGG